CACCCAUGACAUUUAGAGAAAAUGUCAUGUGUAUUUACACAUUUAUAAAAGUAAAAUAGAGCUAUAUUUUUUAUGUCGACUCUCGCGGUAACGGGAGUUUGACGAGGGUUUGACCGGUAUAAAUAACUUCCGGUCGAGCUGAGACUUCCUUUCUGUUGAGUGUCGAGGACGAGGGGGUCGAAGUGGAAGGUUGUCCUAAAUCAGGUUGGUUAAAAUAACCUUGUAUUUCAUUGAAAUAACCUUGUAUUUCGUUUGCCAAGGCUUUGGCCUAAAGAAUGUUACAGUUUUUGUGGAGGUUGGAUUUAGUAUUUAGUAGGAUGUCUUACGAUUUCAUUUGAGGGGGAGGACGGCUCCCAUCUUAGCGUUUGAGGCAAUGGCCAACGAUGAUUGAAUAAGGGGAUACUAGCUAGGGAAUAUGGUGGUUAAAUAUCUAGGACCCAUAUUGUGAAGGGGGAUGGAUGUAGUUUUGUGUGCCUUGAGUUUGAAAAUACGUAGGUUAUGGGUUUAGGUACAGAGAAGGUACCACGUGUUCUCCACGUGCUCCCCACGUGUAGCAAAAUCCCGUGUAAUGAAUAAUAUCAUGUGAGAUUCUUAUGUUUAACUUGUUUGAGGGAGAAGGGAGGCGUAUGUAAUGGAAUUUGCUGUAGUAAGAUUUUGCAUAUGUUUGGAAAAUGCCAUGAGGAAUAUAAUGUAUGUGAUGGAAUUUGCUGUAGUAAGAUUUUUGCAUAUGUUUGGGCAAUGCCAUGAGGAAUAUAAUGUAUGCGGGGGAAUUUGCUGUAGAAAGACUUUUGUAUAUUGUUGGGGAAUGCCAUGAGGAAUAUAAUGUAUGUGAGGGAAUUUGCUGUAGAAAGAUUUUUGCAUAUGCUUAGGAAAUGCCAUGUGGAGUAUAAUGUAUGCGAGGGAAGUUGCUUAGAGAGAUUUUGUGUAAUGGGACUUUCUUGUUCUGAUUUCAGGGCAACAUACUUUAACUUUACCCCUUACCCUUCACUUUUCCCCUUCACCUCAUCCCAAUAAAGAAUUCGGUUGACGAACUUGUGUUUGGGUCGUACAACGUGAUAAAGAAAGGAAGUGAACCUCCCACACACCAACUCUCAAAAAUCGUGCCCGCUACAAUAGACACCCAAGUGGCGAAGGUAUUAUGGGGAAAAGCAGAUCACCUGAAGAAAAAAAAUCGACACGAGAUGUUACGAGAUCUGAGAACCUUGCGAUGCCCUAUGUAGUGGUGGCAAGCGAUCAACUAGAAGACGGGUACAAACCCAUCAUAUUCACUUUACACGAGUAUCAACGGCUUUGAGGGAGCAACUGUUUAAUCUUCUCCCCACACAGCAAGUCCCUAGAUACAAAGGCACCUUGUAGGACGACUCACCAGACGGAAGGAACAUUUCCAUCCCUAUCUCUGACAUCACAGCAGCGUGGGAGCAGAUUGAGCAACUUGACAAUUUGUACAAAAAUGUUAAAGAAUAUGCUUAGCUAGGCUAUUUCGAAUUAUCUAGAGUUUUCAUUAAAAGCAUGAAAGCUUCGUUUUCUGAAAAUCUGAGAGUGAUCAGCAACGUUGUAAUUUGUUUGUUUUAAGCCACAACCCUC
rnacentral:lncRNA from 1 species